AUAUCUUUCCCUACUAAUAAAGCACGGAGUGCUUCUGGUCGUCCGUCAUGGUCGUUUUACAAAAAAGCCCCUCCGUUUACAGGAAAUCAACCCGCGCUCCCUGUUUAAGUGGCAACCAGAGAAAACGUUUCGGUUUUCCGUCGUCGCUUUUGCAUAAUAGUCCCUCAGUUUAUAAGAAAUCAACCCGCAGUCCUACUUAAUGUAUGCUCCUGAUGAGAUAACGUUUCGAUUUGUUUUGCAUAAAAACCCCUGCCACCACCCCCACCUCCGCCC
rnacentral:rRNA from 1 species